UGGGGAAUCUUAGACAAUGGGGGCAACCCUGAUCUAGCCAUGCCGCGUGAGUGAUGAAGGCCUUAGGGUCGUAAAGCUCUUUCGCUGGGGAAGAUAAUGACGGUACCCAGUAAAGAAACCCCGGCUAACUCCGUGCCAGCAGCCGCGGUAAUACGGAGGGGGUUAGCGUUGUUCGGAAUUACUGGGCGUAAAGCACGCGUAGGCGGACUGGAAAGUUGGGGGUGAAAUCCCGGGGCUCAACCUCGGAACUGCCUUUGAUACUGCCAGUCUUGAGUUCGGGAGAGGUGAGCGGAAUACCGAGUGUAGAGGUGAAAUUCGUAGAUAUUCGGUGGAACACCAGUGGCGAAGGCGGCUAACUGGACUGGUACUGACGCUGAGGUGCGAAAGUGUGGGGAGCAAACAGG
rnacentral:rRNA from 1 species